AUAUUCUGGAGCAGCUCAUGGGCCUAGCAUUUCACGGACCAUAUUUUGGGCAGUGCUGCUACAGCAGAAAGGAAAUGGGUGACCUCUUCCUUGCUGGUAAUAGUAAGGUUGUCUGAGAGAAGAAAGGUUUGAAGGGGGGCCCAAACACCAAACUGCUUUUGAGUCAUUCCUGGGGAAGGUCAAGGUCUAUAGUGUGCCUUGUUUCACUUUAGAGUCAACAUCUCGCUAUUUGGGGGGAACGGACUUUAGAACAGAAAAAAAUAGCUGCUUGGGAGAAAGAGUUUCACUGCUAUGAGAUGUCAAGUCCCUAAAGUUAAAUGUUACUGAUGGAAGAAUACAGCUGAAGAAGAGCUCUUGGCUUGACUGAGUAGCUGAUCUCUUUACAAGAAGGGAUACAAGCCCUGCAGUGGAACUCACUGCUGAUCCUUCAGACUUGGUUCUCUGUGUAGCAUAUUAAUGCCUGCCACAAGGGUGCUAUCAACCAGAAUCUUCAGUGAAUCUUCUUUGUCUGAAUUGCACAUAUCUCAGAGGAGAAUAGAGAAUGUGUAAGGACACCGUGGCCCAUGCAUUGACACUGUCAUAGAUAAAGCAUAGUUACUCGCUAUCAGUUCUACCCACAGCCAAAGUCCAGGUUCCACCUCCUUUAGCAAGCCUUCUCGAAGGACUCCAUGCCUCACUGAUCUUCCUCCUCACUGAACGCCACAGACCAAGAACCCAUAAUGUCCUCCUCAGGAACCAGCACAGUCCCAAAGUCCACAGAACUCAAAAGAACGCUGGUAGAUUGAUUUGCUCUACCAUCAUCUCAACAGUGCUUUCCUCGGGUGUAGCAUGAUGCAUUUUAACACAAUUAAAAUGACAUGUUAGAAAUGUUGCUGAUGGGGUUGCUGGGGCAAUGACUUCUUUCAAAGUCUUCCCUCUAUUUACUGCACUCAUGGAAGUGAGUCUCAUGGGAAGCUAUGUCUUAGCUGAAAGCCUGUCUUCAAAGUCCUUUGGCAAGGAAGUUUUCUGUUAUGAAUAAAUUAGUAUCACAAGUAACUUUUUCAAGUGUUUUUCCAUACAAUUGACACUUCUAAUAAUGAAAAAGAAUCAAGCUUCUGACUCUGCACACAGUGGCAAAUAUUGGCAUGUGUAAUCUGGGGCCUGUUGGGUGAAGAUCCUUAAGUUACCACAACCUAUUGGUAGAGUGUCUCUAAAUUUUGGAUGUAGCCAGUCCCAAACUGACUUGUAAAAGUGUCAGCUUGGACAGUGUUUCACAAACUGGGAUUGGAGAAAGACCACAGUUCUGAAAGAUGCUGCUCGGUAUUGCUCAGUGCUACUAGAUGGACUUGGUGUUGAGAGCAUGAG
rnacentral:lncRNA from 10 species